rnacentral:lncRNA from 1 species
GCACAUCUUUUCGCCCUUAUGUUCUGCAGGAGAUGUUAUCCUUCCUGAUCCGCCGGGAGCCAACACUUCCAACAUUCCUCUCAGUUCUCCUCUCCUUCAUCCGCCAUCCACCUCAGCGAAGAAGGAAACGUCAGACCUGACAAGCUCCUUUGCCCGUUCUCGCGACUCCUUGGAUCUGGCCUGCGAGGAUCCUCGCUCUAAAGACAGCAAGAGGGAGAAGCGUGCCAAACCACCAAACACCAGCUCUUCCAGAGUCCCGCAGCAACGGCGCAUCAAGAGUCGGUCCGCUGAGAAUCUCCUUGAUCUCGGAGAUACAGAGAAAUCCAAAAGCCCAUCCAAAGACAAAGCUUGCAGCCACAAAGAAAAUCUGCAACAAAGCACUCGAGACUCCCACAAGAACAGAAAGUCUUGCCAACAUAGUCGCUCAGUCAGUCCCCAGAAGUCAAAGCGUGAAGGACAGGAAGUAGUAAUUGGCGAAGCGCAGGGACGGAAAAAGGAACGUCGUGUGAAGGGGAAAGCGAGCGUGGACCAGAAGAAAAGUGACGCUGAAAGAAGGAAAAAACAGGAAUCUAGAGGAAGGAAACUAAAUGAGACCCAAGAAGGGGAGGAGAGGUGGAGAGCUGAGAGAAAAGUGAAAAACAAAGGAGAGGAUGAAGUGCUUGAGCCAAAAGGGGAAAUGGAGCUCAAAAGCACCCGAAAGAAGAAAAAACAGAGAGAUAGAGACAUGCGAAAUGAGGACACCCACAUAUCGAGCAGAAAGGGAGACAAGAAGAGCAGACAAACAAAGGAUAAGGGGGAUCAAAUGGAAGAAAACAGGAAGGAAAUGAUUACAGAUAAGAAUGAAAGCAAAAGAAAAGGAAAUGAGAGCGAAGACAGGAAAGACGACAUUGUCACCACAGAUGUGGCUCCAGUCACCACCAGGGCGAGUCUAGUCUUUGACCACCCUGGACCCUUGAGCGACGGCCUUUGGGAGAUCCCUAGUUUUGCACGUAUCCUCACGCACGAGGAAGCGAUGCGAGAUGUUUGCGAAUAGUUUGGCGAUCCUUGGGAAUAGAAGGUUUAAGGCCAGAAACAUACACAAGUACGUGAAUGCAAACGCUUCUAGCUGUGAUUUCACACAGUUCAUCAUGGAUUGCAAAUUGCAUUCUCAACAUUUCAGCAC